rnacentral:rRNA from 1 species
GAUGAACGCUGGCGGCGUGCCUAAUACAUGCCAGUCGAGCGAACAGACCUCGAGCUUGCUCCUCUGACGUUACCGGCGGACGGGUGAGUAACACGUGGCUAACCUUCCUAUAUGGCUGGGAUAACUUCGGGAAACCGGAAUUACUACCGGCUAAUAUAUUGACCCGCAUGGUUCAAUAGUGUAACACGGUUUUGCUUUCACUUAUAGAUGGAUCCGCGCGUCAUUGACUGGUUGGUUAGGUAACGGCUUACCAAGGCAACGAUGGGUAGCCGACCUCGGAGGGGGUACGGCAACAGUGACGCUGAGAGGCGGCACAGAGACCGACGGGAGGCAGAAGUAGGGAAUGUACGGAAAUGGGCGAAAGCCUGACGAAGGAAGGGAGGGCGAGUGAGGAAGGGCCUCGGACCGUAAAACUGUGUUAGGGGUGAAGAACAAAUGCGUAAAUGACUAAGCACGUCUUGACGGUAGCUGAUCAGAAAGCAACGGCUAACUACGUG